AGAGACUCUAUAGUAAUAAAAUAAAGUAAAAUAAAAUAAAAUAAAUAAUCUAAUCUUUGCUUAAAUUUGUACAUGACCCCUUUCAUAAUAAUAAUAAUAAUAUUUUGGCAUUUAACGCAUAAGUUAAUUAUUUAAACAGUGAAAGUCUUACUGUUUUAAAAUAUUGUCUUAAGACCCAUCUUGUUUAUGCUUUUUAUGUGAUUGUUUGUAUUUGGUCUGUUAGGGUGUAAUAAUAAUUAUUGUGUAAUGUUGAUUGUUUUGUUGUAAGGUGUCCUUGAGUGUCAUGUCAGGUGCCUAUAAAUAACAUGAAAUAAAUUUUACACAGAGGUCAAGUUCAUUAUUUACGUUUGACAUUUCAUGUAACGGACCUCAAACUGUGCUCAACAACUGUAAGCGGUAAGCGUAGCGGUACCUUUAAGAAAAUUGGACCGAUGUAUUUUGAAAACGGGGGAGAACAGUUCAUUUAGUUGUGAAAAGUCGUGUGCAAAGAGUGUAUAUACUGAAUAGUUGAUCUAUUUAUUAUGCAGCUACUCAAUUAUUUCCUAUACUGUAAAACUGAACAUUAGCUAAUGAUAUUAAGGGGACAUGAUAAAACCUGUUUGACCGAUCCCCCCUCUUUCCCACAAAAGUCUAUUCUUGAUCUAAGGCUCAUGAUGCAGUGGGAUUCAAUAAGCUGGUAGGUGCUGCCCAACUCAAGGUUUUCGGCUCCAGUCGACAGCGAAUGAGCACGGAAAUAUACCGCAGCAUCCUCACUCAUUUGAAGUGUUUACGUGCAGAUCAUAAAGGCAUCAGCCCCACUGAUAACCUGCAGCAGCUGGAGGACAAGGACAGCUCGGACAGCAGCUCAGAGCCCGUUAAAACCUGAGCCAUACAAAGCAGAUGUUCCUUCACAGAAAGACAUGAGUUACCUGAGGGAGCAGUUUUUAGAGCAGGAUUCUCAGCCUUGGCCAGGAACAAAGGAGCAGCGACAAGGCUUUUCCCCACAAUCCUCUGGUGCUGCCUCCCAGCUUGCUGAGCCUGACGAGUGUGCUGACACUUACUGGAGCUGAGUGCUCUCUUUUUCCUGCCGUGCGGGUCUGGCUACGUGGAGGAAGCAGGGGCUUAUUAAUGAGCUGCGAGUAUGAGGCCUCACUGCUGACAGCCAGUGGAGAUAGAAUUAAUAGUCCGGUCAUCUGGCUUGAUGUGUGUGUCUCCAGGCUGCCCCUUGACGAGAGUCCACUGCGGAAUCCACCACGGCGG
rnacentral:lncRNA from 1 species